GACGUAGGGCGCGAGCGUUGUCCGGAUUUAUUGGGCGUAAAGAGCUCGUAGGCGGCUCAGUAAGUCGGGUGUGAAACCUCCAGGCUCAACCUGGAGACGCCACCUGAUACUGCUGUGGCUAGAGUCCGGUAGGGGGGCGUGGAAUUCCUGGUGUAGCGGUGAAAUGCGCAGAUAUCAGGAGGAACACCAGCGGCGAAGGCGGCGCUCUGGGCCGGAACUGACGCUGAGGAGCGAAAGCGUGGGUAGCAAACAGG
rnacentral:rRNA from 1 species